CCCGUGUUCAUGGUUGACUCACUGCCAUCUGUAUCUUUGUAUUCUUAAUGUACGGAUGAAUUCCUCAGAGGUGUCAGGAAGCCACAGCAAGCUUGGUGAUAACAAGGCAAGCAAAACUUGGGCAUCCUUCUGACAGGAAAGGUCUGCCCAAGUCCUGCUGCUUCUAGGGGGGAUGAGAGAGAAGCAGGACCUGUCCCUCGCAAGAACUGGGGUUUCCAUGUGUGCUGUGUUUGCAGGUCUCGCAGCAUGGGCAGCGUGAUGCCUCCCCGAGCCGUUCCUGCUGGAGCUUCUGUGCCUUCAGCGAGGCGUGGUGCUCAAGGUCAGGCAGCAAACGAGUCUGCCUCAGGAAUGAGGAAAAGAAGGCCUUUCCUGGUCAUUUUUCCCUGUUCUGCUGAAUUUUGUGCAACCCGAAUGCUACCCAUUGGCACUGGGACAGGGAGAGCCACCCAUGCAGACCCAGAUGCUGUAGUCCUGCUUUUCUAAGGUAAGGUGUUGUAGCAAGGUUGAAGCAUAAAACACCCAGAUGACAAGGUGCUCCUGUUUCCUCAGCUCUAGGUUGCAUUUUGGUAUCUUUAGGAAGCAGAAAGGCCUGGCUCCCCAUGUGUAAGUUACAAAGGGCUCUGUCUGCAAGAAUGAUGCCAUGAUGUCUGGCAGUGGUAACCAGCACAACAUUGAGGUCACUUCUUUAAGUAUCACAUUGCAGCACAGACCUUCCCGGUGUGAUGUCAGGAGGCUCUCAUGAACCUUGACUGCUCUGCCGCAGCCAUGGUUAUUCUUAGAGACACUUCCCAUUCCUCAGGAAAAGCUCCUGUGAGAGGCUUAGUUGACUUUUAUCUUUAGAAGCAAGUAUUUAAAUGUUGGACUAAUUUGUAGCUCAUUCGCAGCUCAGCUGCAGCCCUGCCAGCUGCAGUGGGAUCAGUGACAAGCCUUUCUUCUGCCACCAAAGCACACUUGCAGACAGAUCCAGGCCUAGGAGCACAUUGCCCCAGAGGCAACUCAGCUUUUUCACAAGCAUGUAGCUGCCUGGGGGAGUUUUCCAGAACAAGUAGCGUAUUAG
rnacentral:lncRNA from 1 species